CGGGGGGGGGUGGGGGGGGAAGCCCACUCGUCUGCCCGAGCCAUUUGGAGCACGUCAGCUCCUCCUCCCCGUACAGGUGUGCAGCUGGGAUAACCGAUGAUUAAUGCAUGUGUCUGGCCGGGCCUUCAGGGUAAUUUGAUUUGCUUGAUAUCCAGAGUGAUCACCCCUCUUUCCUUCCUCCCCACCUUCUUUUUUUUUUUUUCCCCCCCUGAGUUUGUGGCAGUGUUUACCUUAGUUGGUGUUUUCAGUUGAUGAAUGACACUUGUUUCUGGCCUCCGUUUCCGCCCAAGCUGUAAUUAGAUUUUGCACGAGGCUCCUGUGAUUACGGACCUGGGCCUUCCUCCCCCAUCGGACCUCUCAAAAGUUACUCGGCUUUCCGAACUUUCCCCAGUUUUCCUUCCUGUCGUCCUCACCAGCAAACCCCGGUGCCGAUGGGCCGGCAGGAGGCCCCCGUCACCUCCGGGGGUUUAGGGUUUGUGCUGGCAAAAGCCACAUCCUGCUCCUGAUGGAAUCCAUUAGGCUGGAGGGACGAAUGGCUUCCCAGAGAGAUGCGCUGAUCUGCCGGGAGGGGAGCCGUGCUCUGCCCCAGAGCUCUGCGGAGGAGGAAGCAGCCUGGGUGCCUUGGAACUGAAAGAAUGCCCACGCAGCCGAGACAGCACCGCCAGUGAAUUCACGGUCCGGGAAACAGAUGAACUGCACCGACCCAGAAAACUCGCAAGGAAGAGAUUCGGAAGUGGAAGAGGGAGAAACAUUGGUCCUUAAGAAACUGCUAAGAGUUGGGGCGCCUGCGUGGCGCAGUCGGUUAAGCGUCCGACUUCAGCCAGGUCAAGAUCUCGCGGUCCGGGAGUUCUAGCCCCGCGUCAGGCUCUGGGCUGAUGGCUCAGAGCCUGGAGCCUGUUUCCGAUUCUGUGUCUCCCUCUCUCUCUGACCCUCCCCCGUUCAUGCUCUGUCUCUCUCUGUCCCCAAAAUAAAUAAACGUUGAAAAAAAAAAAAAAAAAGAAACUGCUAAGAGAAAUUUGAGGCCCCGGCGGCAUCGUCUAGA